rnacentral:rRNA from 1 species
UGGGGAAUAUUGCACAAUGGACGGAAGUUUGAUGCAGCGACGCCGCGUGGAGGGUGUAGGCCUUCGGGUUGUGAACUCCUUUUUCUCGCGAAAAAGGCACAGUUUUGGCUGUGUUGAUGGUAGUGGGGGAAGAAGCGCCGGCUAACUACGUGCCAGCAGCCGCGGUAAUACGUAGGGCGCGAGCGUUGUCCGGAUUUAUUGGGCGUAAAGAGCUCGUAGGUGGUUCGUCACGUCUGUCGUGAAAGCCAGCAGCUUAACUGGUGGUCUGCGGUGGGUACGGGAGGGCUUGAGUGCGGUAGGGGUGACUGGAAGUCCUGGUGUAGCGGUGGAAUGCGCAGAUAUCAGGAGGAACACCGAUGGCGAAGGCAGGUCACUGGGCCGUUACUGACACUGAGGAGCGAAAGCGUGGGGAGCGAACAGG